GCACUAAAUUUCCUUUUGCCCAAAACACCAGGGCAACAGCAAGUCGGAUCAUCCCACAAGCGAAACAAUACCAAGCAACAACACGCAAAAUUGAAUCUUUUUGCGCGAAAAGAAGAAUAAACCAAGCAAGAUAGCAUGAACAAAGCAAGAACACACGAAUCGCCGCAUCCAAGGGCUCACGGAGACGUACCACUUCCACAGAUCGCUUCCUCUUGAGCUUCAUCUCGAAAUUCGCAUUGCCCGGGCGAAAGCUCAACGCAAGAACCGCGGAGCGGAGUAGGGUUUCUCCGAUAUCGGAACGAUAUCAGGAGAAAAUUGGUAUACACAUAUAAUCAGUAGAGAGGGAGCGCCUGGGAGAGGGGAAACCCUAGAUAACGCCCCAACCACGGCGCUACCUCGUCUUUGUCCUCGUAGUCUUCUUCCUCGCGAGAAAGCGAGUGAGCGAGACAGAAAGAGGGGAGAGAUCAGGAGAGGCCGCAAGGGCAAGAGAGAGAGAGAGAGAGAGAGAGAGAGAGUUUGUUGAGGGUUUCGUCGAGCGGUCGGUGUGGAGGGGGGAGCGGGGCGGUGAUCGGUUUAGGAAUUAGAGGAGAGUGGCGGAGAGCCUGAGAGAGAGAGAGAGAGAGAGAGAGAAACGGGAUGUUAGAUGCAAUACUACAAAACGAGAGCAAAUGUGAUUUGUAUAAUAUCUUUACAUGACAUGAGUGUAUGAUAUACACCUUUAAUCCAAGAAUUAAUAAAGCCUUUGGAGUUUUUAUUUAUUUAUUUUUUUUUCACAAGAGCAAAUGCUACCUAUACAUCUCAUUUGAAAUAUAUAUUAAACAUCAAUCAUAUCAAGUGACUAGUGAAAGCACCCUACCCAUCGGAUGGGUGGGGUGUAACUUGUACACCCACAAUGAGAUGUACAAAUAGCAUUUUCCUUUUCACAGGAGGUGCAUACACGCCCUUAAUCCAAGGGUUGAUAAAGCUUUUAUAGAUUUAGUAUAAAGAAUUAUGUUGUAUUUAGUUGGCCAUAAGAUAUAUAAAAAUUACUUUUCGAUUGAAAAUUUUAUUUUUUUUCUGUGUUUGUUUAGCUGUAAAAGUUUUUUUCAAAAAACUAUUUUUACAGAUUUAAAAAAAUAAAGUAUUUUCAUUUUUCGCUGAAAAUCGCUAGAAAAAAAAACUCAAGCUGCAUACAAUUUUUUUUAUUGAUUUUUUUCCACCAGAACCAAACAAAUGUGAUUUGUUUUCUUUCACCUAAAUAAAUGCUAAUGAAAAACUUAUGUUUUUCUACAAAUCAAACACUAUAAAACAUGAAAC
rnacentral:lncRNA from 1 species